AAUCUUCGAUCACAGUUAUUUAUUAAAAAAAAGAAAAAAAAAAGAAAAGAAAAAAAAGAAAGAAAAAAAAAGGAAGAAGGAAAGAAAAAAAGAAAGAAUGCAAUCAACUGUGGAAAGUUGGAGUAGUGCCACAAAUUCUUUUCUCCCCUCAGUUUUAAUGCCUGCCUACCUGUCUCUUUUAAUAUGAUACCUCUUUUUAAAUGAAUCGUUCUGUACAUUCAGAGCAUCAGUCAAACCAAGAGGACUCCAUGGUGCCCUGUGUGAUUUUGCCAGGAUUCAGAUGAAAACAGCGAAUUGAGAUUUUAUUUUAAAUUGUGCCCUUUUGCCCAUUUUGUUGAAAUCAGGCAGUUGGGAACUUGCAAAUUGUGCACACUCAUACUUAAUGCAAAACAUAUAUUCUUAAUAAAAAAAGGUUAACACACAGGCAGGCAUUUCUGAUGCUGACUUUGAAAUUAAUAGUCUUCCUAGCUCCUCUACCUUACAGAAAUUACACAUAGUACCACCUCUGUUCCUCAAGCUGCAAAAUCAAUACUUCAAGGAAUUGGGCUCUUUGCCUGGCCCUAAUCACUGUAUGUUUGGGUUUAACCAUCCGUUCAAAGGAUGAUCCUUGCAGUUGGAACAGCCUGGGUUGCAUUUUAGAGCUCUCUCUCUGUAAAACAGCAGUAGACAAGUCCAGUAAGCCAAGCACUGUUUAGUACCUCUGAUUCGUUGAAUUAGAUCAGAGCUCUAUUUUGGCAUAAGGAGCACAAAUAUUUCCUUUAAUCCCAACUAAUGUUUGCUUAGCGGAAGGCUGUUUGGGGCACUCUAAAUAAGGUCUGUCCCAUCACACAAUGCCUGCCAAAACUGCAAUUAGCCACUGUGAAAGAAAGAGGAAAAAAGGAAAAAAAAAGAAAAAGAAAAAGAAAGCAAUCUUGGCUUUUGCUUUCUCUCACUAAUUUCCUUCCUGAACUAAUACAGGUACCAUCCUUCCAACCUGUCAACUACAGACAACUUCUUGCAAUUGAAAAAAUAUUGCAUCUCAUAACUCAGAAGAACCAAGGAGAAAAAAGUACAACUACAGUGAGUUUCCAUCCAAAUCUACAUAAUCACAUUGAUAUUAUAAAUUACUAUAACCACAGGAUUCUAUAAUUGGUUUGUUUCUAAAAUUUGGAAGCAUGAAAAAAAUAGAAGGCAGAGAAAUGUAAGAGUUCUGAGAAUCCUCUCAGUCUAAAGCUAUCAUAAUGCAAUUUCUAUUCCUUGAUUGAGAUAUCUCCAGCUGAAGUCCGAAAAACAUCAGGCCACAUCUUGUUCACACUGGAAAUACAAGUCAAGAAUGCUGUCUAAACAAAAGGAGAAAUUAGUUCACUGAAUCAAAACAUUAUAGUCAGGUGUUAUAUUUUAAAUUUCCUCUUUUUCAUAUUGAAUGGUUACUUUAACAAAGUAGGAAGUGAGGGAAAAAUCUUUUAAAAAAGAGAUCCAGACUUUAAAACCAGUAAUCUAAGAGUUCAACCACUGAUUGUUUCUUUAUGUUUGUUUUCUCUUCUGAACUCUGUGAUUUGCAGAGGUUAUCCUCUGAUUUUUUAGAUGUGAAUGGUACCCUAUUUUUAUUUAUUUAUUUAUUUGCUUUGAAAUAUUCUCAAACUUUCAGAGUGGAUCUGGUCAGGAAUUUUCCAAUAUCCUGUCUCCUGCUCUCCCAAAAAAGAAUCACAAAAUGAAUCAUAGAAUGGCCUGGGUUGAGAAGGACCAUAAUGAUCGUCUAGUUUCAACUCCCCCUACUAUGUGCAGAGUUGCCAACCACUAGACCAGGCUUCCCAGAGCCACAUCCAGCCUGGCCUUGAAUGCCUUCAGGGAUGGGGCAUCCACAACCUCCUUGGGCAACCUGUUCCAGUGUGUCACCUCCCUCUGCAUGAAAAACUUCCUCCUAAUAUCUAACCUAAACCUCCCCUAUCUCAGUUUAAGACCAUUCCCCCUUUUCCUAUCACUAUCCACCCUCAUAAACAGCCAUUCCCCCUCCUGUUUAUACUCUCCCUUCAAGUAUUGGAAGGCCACAGUGAGGUCUCCCCAGAGCCUCCUCUUCUCCAAGCUGAACAAGCCCAGUUCCCUCAACCUUUCCUCACAGGAGAGGUACUCCAGCCCUCUGAUCAUCCUAGUGACCCUCCUCUGGACUAGCUCCACGUCCUUCCUGUACUGGGGGCUCCAGGCCUGGAUGCAGUACUCCAGAUGGGGCCUCACAAGAGUCAAAAUAGUGAUAGGGCAAAAAGAUUCCUCUUCUCUUGGGGAAGAUUUCAGAGAUUUGCCCUAGAAUAAUUUGUAACUCAGUGAUUAUUCAUCAAGGUGAUCUAAAUUAAAAUCAGUGUACUGUAUCAGGCACUAAGGAGAUCUCAGCAUGAGUCUCCAGCAGCACAAGUGAGUUCUGUAAUAGAAAGAUAUGCUGGAUUUGAGAGAACAUGGAAGGGAAUGCGACAUUGUCUUAUUCUUUCUUUCUUUUGAUGAAACAUAGCUAGAAGUUCUUGCUAGAUACGAUUAAGAAGGAAUUUCUUUUCAAUGCUCUUGGUUUUUAAUUAUUUUCUAUACUUCUCUCAUUUAUUAUACUGGGAUGGUGUUUUCCAAGGCAACUUGUAUUUGGGACACAGACAAAGUAUUCCAGUUUAGCUGAGAAAAUGUUCACCCUUUGCCUUUCUAGAGCACAUCAGUUACCAGUCUCCAUCACUACUGGAUCCCUCACUCCCCUAAAAUCACCCAAGUGUUGUGGUGUAUAUAUAAUGGAGGUCAGAAGCCAGUACUCUAUAUGCAAAAAAGGAAUAACAGUUACUAUUCCAGAGUAUGUAGGGAACAUAAUUUCAUUUUCAAUGACAGAAUGUCAGUAGAGCUUCAAACAAAAGAUAUUGUAAAGUAUAAGUGGAAAAUAGCUACCUAGUCUUUACAUGGAACCAAACUGAGUUUGUUUAGAUAGCUGACAGCAUGCUUGCACUGUAAAGAACAUAGUGUGUGUAUAUGUUACUUUAAGAUAACAUUUUGCCUCUUAUUACUACUAGUGAUCUUAGGAACACCAUUUCCACUGUGCCACAUGGUACACAGAUAUUGCAGUUUCCACUAUUUGUUGUAAUCUGGAUGUCUGAUUCAAUUGUUUGGCUAUCUUUGGAGGGUGAAUGUGAUAACAGUAGGACCAUAACCCAAUAUUAAAAGCAAUGGGAAAUAAAGAACAGGCCCUGUU
ensembl:lncRNA